rnacentral:lncRNA from 1 species
GUUUAAGACUCACUUCAGCUGCCUUCUAAAUUUCUCCCUUUAAUGCCUUGUUAAGAGAAAUCAAAAGAAACAGGAAAUAAUGUUAAGUCUAUAUGUAAUAAUUAGGUGUAACUAGAUUAUUUUCAUUUAUUUUGAGGAAGGCGGUAGCGGGUGGUUGUAGUUAUAAGUGGAAGCAGGUAAAUUAGAUAACCCAUUAGUUGUUUCCUCACACAGAAGAAGUAAAAAGAAUUAAAGUGUGAAAAGUAAAUCACUUUAAAAUUAUUACCAGAGAAUACUAGGCCCCUGAAUUGCUACCACCUGGAAAGAGCUACAGUAUCCCACGGUCCUUUCCAGCCAUCUUUUAAAACAUAACUUUGUCAGUCAAUCAUAUU